GGCGCACGGGUGAGUAACACGUGGGUAACCUGCUCGGGUUGGGGAUAACAUUCCGAAAGGAGUGCUAAUACCGAAUAAGACCACGACUCGCAAGAGGAUGCGGUCAAAGCUGGCCUCUGUACAUAAGCUAGCGCCUGAGAUGGGCCCGGGGCAUCAUGGUAUUGGUGAGGUAACGGUCACCAACCGAAACGCGUACUGGUCUGAAGGAUGAUCACACACUGGAACUGAGACACGGUCCAGACUCCUACGGGAGGCAGCAGUGGGGAAUCUUGCGCAAUGGGCGAAAGCCUGACGCAGCGACGCCGCGUGAGUGAUGAAGGCCUUCGGGUUGUAAGGCUCUGUGGGGAGAGACGAAUAAGUGCGGGCUAAUACUCCGCGUGAUGGACGGUAUCUCCUUACAAGCACCGGUUAACUCUGUUGCCAGCCAAGGCCCGGCGGGUAAGGAACAGAAGGGGUGGGCAAACCGGUUUGGUUUCCGGGAAAUUUAACUUGGGGGCGUUAAAAGGCGGAAGUUGGUUAAGGGGCGGGGUUUUCCCCUAAAGUUCCAGGGUUGGUUGGAAAAAGGCCCCCCCGGGGGCUUCCAAACCCCGGGGGAAAGGU
rnacentral:rRNA from 1 species